UACGGAGGGUGCAAGCGUUGCUCGGAAUUAUUGGGCGUAAAGCGCACGCAGGCGGCAAGGUAAGUCAGUUGUGAAAUCCCCGGGCUUAACCCGGGAACAGCAUUUGAUACUGCCAUGCUAGAGUACGGAAGAGGGGAGCGGAAUUCCCAGUGUAGAGGUGAAAUUCGUAGAUAUUGGGAGGAACACCGGUGGCGAAAGCGGCUCCCUGGUCCGAUACUGACGCUCAUGUGCGAAAGCGUGGGGAGCAAACAGG
rnacentral:rRNA from 1 species